rnacentral:lncRNA from 1 species
UUUCUAUGUAGAUGAGGCAGCGCAGGGGCUGCUGCUUCGCCACGAAGGAUUUCCCGUGCCGUGGGAGCGGGUUCAGGACCGCUGGUCGGACCUGAGAGUCCCAGCUGUGUGUGAGGGCUAGGAGGGCUGGGGGUGGUUGGGGAUUGGCUGGAGUGGUGCUGGGGCAAGUGACUGUGCGUUUAAAGGGUGAGGCGUAUGGAGCUGUGGCGGGGCGGAGAUAGGUGCAAUCUUAUUUAUGUGGCAGGGCAGAUAUUAUGGUUACUGAAAUGCCUUUUAAACCCGACUCAACUAUUUCAUUUCAAGUGUGCUGUUCUGUCAUUUUCUCCAAGGUGGGAAGCUCAGCUGUGUAAUUUGUAGUAACGAAGCAGAAGUUACAACGAAAAGACAAGUUUUCCUGUGCUUGGCAGGGCCCCCCUCCCCCCCACCAAGGCCUGCAGUGGAUAGAGCCUAGCAGAUCCUGGACAAUACUAUCCUAAAAGCUACAUCUCUGACAGUGAUUUCCAGCGACUUUGUCAACACGGUCCGCCCCCAGCAAGUAUAAGAGGAAAAACAACAAAUGUCUUUACUGCCUUGUCUUUCCCCCUUGCCACUUGUCAUUAUUCAAGUUUUGUAAGUUCCUGAUUUCCAUUCAGUGCAGCUGCAAGGUUACCAGCUGUGCUUGCGUUGCAAGACCUGUCACAGUUUGAUUAACUGCCUUCUUUCUGCUUCUGUAAGCCCUCUUGCCUGCCCCGCGAGUUUCACACCAUCAAAUUCCUGCUGCACCAUUCAAACUAGCCAACCCCCUUUCAGAAGUGUGUAUAAAAGUCAAGCCCCCUGUCUUUCUUCGGGGCUCAUGCUAGGCCCGAGUGCAUUCAAUAAAAUCCUUCUGUUCCACCCGUUGGUCUCUUUGUUCUCCUGAUUCCCGCAACAGUAGUAGGGGACUGCGUUCGUGCUUUCCCCUGGUCUUUCAUGGUAUGAAUAAUAGACAGCAUUUGUUUUUUUCAUCUAUAGUCGCAGGCCCAGUCUC